AUUUGAGUAACAGAAAGUAGAAGUGCAGUGGUUAUGCGGCUAUUUCAAAAUCCGCUGAAGGAAAUAGCAACAUUGCAAAGUGGUACAAUCGGUGCUACCUGAUGCCAAAACCUAUAUACACAGGAAAUAGCAACACUAAGUACCAGUAAUUUUAAUUGUAGCUGGACAGAGCAAAAUUUUGGUUAGGUAUAGCAUACAUAAUAAAUUAAAUAUAUCUUUGCCACUUAAACCUAUAUACACAGGCAACUUUUUUUACUUUUUCAUUUCCAAAGGUUUGCUUCUGUGUUAAACUUAGUGUUUUUUUAUCAAACUAUGCAAGCUGAACGAGUGUAAGGAUAUUUUUGAGCCUUUGUAUAGUUUUAUUUAUGAUCUAGGCGCACCUACUUGAAGCCACAUCUAUCUUGAACUUUUUUAAACCACUCAUUUAAUUUUUAUUUCUGGCUAGAACAUUGAUAUAACCUUUUGUUGUAUAGGUUGCCAUUCUUGACAGUGUGACCAUGAGUGGUAGCAGAGAUGUUUCCAUUCCUAUAGCGUUUUGCAUUGCCACUAAGAACAGUAUGUAAUUUUUUCCUUGGUUUAUUUUUUGUGCUAUUGGUCUGUUAAUAGGUGCAUCCUAAGAUGAGAAAAUACUUUCUGGAUUAUCUCCUGAUCUGUUUUGUCACAAUUGUCCAUCGAGCAGGAGUGCACUUAGUUCAGUUUGUUCUUUUAGGAUAUUACAUGUUAACCUUUGAAAUCUAAACUUUGGAUGGAGAGUUUGACAUGUUUCAGGUUAUACUACCAACCAGGUUAUAGGUUAGAAUAGGAUUGGUAAGUUAUAUUUAUAAAUAUUUGUGCCUUUUACUUACAUUUUGAGGUAUAGAUAUGUGUGCCAAUUAAGAGAUACUACCUCCGUUUUUUAAUAGAUGAUACUGUUGACUUUUUGUUGCACGUUUGACCAUUCGUCUUAUUCAAAAAAUGUACGUAAUUAUAAUUUAUUUUGUUACGAGUUGUUUUAUCACUCAAAAUACUUUAAGCAUGAUUUAUAUCUGGCAUUUGCAAAAAAAAAAUUGAAUGAGACGAAUGGUCAAAUGUGCGACAAAAAGUCAACGGCGUCAUCUAUUAAAAAAACGGAGAGUAUGUACCUGCAUGCAGACUAACACUAUAUACAUCUCUGUACCUCACAACGAUCAGAAAAAUCUUACCGGUGCUAAUAAUAAACUUGUUUUCUAACCAAUUUAACCGGAUUAAUUUUUUUAUCUCUUAAAUUAUGAGGAGGUAUAUAUAUUCCUCUCGAAGGAUGGGAGACAACCACGGAUAAAAAAAUAGUAAAGAUCGUUUGGUUGAUAAAAAAAUAUGUAAUGAUCUAGAUUGUUUCUAUCACCACAAAAGAUAUCUUAAAAAAUAUCAACAAAUGUAUGCAUGCAUUAAUAUGACAUCCUUAGUAUUUGCGUGGUUAACAACAUGACAAUCUUAGCUAUUAAACUAUAGCGCAUGUGUACAUCCACCUGCAUGUAGAGGCUGGGUUUUUUAAUCCAUUAUCUAAAAAAGCUAUUAAACUAUAGGUUACUAGCCACACUUAAAUGGAGGCUUCAAUCUACAUAUAUAGCUAUUUGCUUUCAGUUUUGUAGUGACCUAUCAGAAAUAGUGUAUAACUUACCCAGAGGUGUUAUAGCCCUCAAAACUAUUUCAUCUACUGACUGGAUUUUGUGCAUGAUCUUGCAACUCAUAACUUUAUUUUUCCAUUGUGCCAUGCCAAACAUCUAAAUCCAUUAAAAUUGUAGAGAAUGCAAAAGAGUGACAAACAUUGCAUGACGAAAGGAAGUGGUUUGAAUAAACUGUCAAAUAUUUGUGUUACCCAAGUGCAAAUAUGGUAUUAUCUUCUUUUCAAACAUAUAUUUACUAUCAGGUUUGGUACUUUCUCUGGAACUUUUGGUUGGCACUGUUGGGUCAUGCACAGCCUGUUGCUUGUCUAAAAGAUUAAUUAGGUCAUGUUUAUUCCAUGUGGCUAUGUAGGCUGGAAUGCAUAUCAAUUAUAAUUUAUCCAUAGUUUACAUGGCCUAUCCAUCUUCUGCGUAUUUAUUAUGCAAGUAAAUCAUGACAAGAAGAUAUAAGAUCCAUGCACCAUUCCUAUGUCUGAGCUUAAACUUGUUCCAUGUCUAUUUGUACAAGGCCAUGCACACAUGUUUCUCAAUUAAAUUUUUAGAGUUAGUAGGUUUGUGCAAAUAUGUAUUUAAUCAUGCAGUUUUCAUACUAUACUAAAUAAAGAAAUUUGUUGAAUAUGUAUAUAUUACUACCUCCGUCCCAUAAAAAUUGCAUUUCUAGCUAAUUUAGGACAAAAUAGUAGGAUUGGAAAAUGACCACAAUAACCUUAUUUAAUGAACCCACUGCAUGCACACAUUCCAUAUAUACACAAAUGAUUAAAAGGAAGUUUGAGAGAAUUAACCCAUAUAAUUAGCAUACUUAAUAAAAUUACAAGCAUUAGCAGCCCAAAUUACGUGGGAUGGAAGGAAUGAAUCAAUUGGUUGGGCCCCACAUGGCUAGAAAUACAAUUUUUAUGGGACAAAGCCUUGGAGCUAGAAAUGCAAUUUUUAUGGGAUGGAGGGAGUAUUCCUUUUCUAGGAAACAUGUUCCUUGACUGCUUUCUAAAAAUAUUAUUUAACCUGUCGCUAUUAUUGAUUAGCUUUUAUUGCAAUUCUUAUAGAUCCUACAUUGUUCUGCUUCAUAUCUUCCACGCUCAUUGCAAGUAUUAAGGAAUGAUUGCAGGAUCUUUUGGAAUAAAGGGCUGAAGAGGCCACAAACUCAUGCAGAGCAUGCCAUUUCCAGCCAUAAGCUUCUUUCAAGUUUCAAGUAGUGAAAGGAUUCUUCAUGCAUCUAUCAUGAAAGAUAUAAGUAGGUACUACACUCCGCAAACAUGCACUUUUUGUUGUUUAAGUAAGCCAGGCGGUAGUUUCAGUUGUGGUGCAUGGAAGCCCCAUAUAUAUUUUUUCACAGUAUAUAUCUAUACAUGUGACCCCUUCUACCAUCUAAUUGCUCCAGUUAAAUUCCUCUAAUCAUUUUAUUCACAGAUGACGUUGCAGAUCAUUACAAGAAUGCAUCAAUGAUGUACAAAGCUAGCUAUUUCAAAGGGAUAGUACCAUUAUAAUGAAUAUUGUGGUUGCUAAUAGAUAUUUAGGUAUGCCAAAUUAAUAAGUCGGUGUGUGUAGUGUCAGGCUGCUAUAUUUUGGAGAUCAAUCAUUCCGAGGUUGCCUUUGUUCCAAAUUCUAUUGCGUUCGAUUGAGAUUUGCAGCGCACACGAAACGAGAAAGCUCAUUAGCACAUGAUUAAUUAAGGAUUACCUAUUAUAAACUUGAAAAUGGAUUGAUUUGACUUUUUAAGCUACUUCUAUAUAGAUUAUUCUUUUUUGCAGAAUAUGCACUGUUUAGCUGUUUGAAAAGCAUUCAGACUGAGCCAUUAAACAAAAUACACUUAUGUUCUGCAUGGUUAUCAAUGGUUGACAAUAUAUACUUCCAUGAUUUGGUUUUUGUUUGUGUAAAUGAAAUCAUAUAGGUACUAUAGGAAUGCAAUUAUCUGCUCACUGACUUGGCAUAGUUUCUAUUUCUAUAAGAUGUGUUCCUUUGUUCUUUUUUACGUUAAAAUGACAGAAAUCAAAUUUGGUGGAAAUGCUGCAUUUAUUCCAUGGUAAUUUAUAUCUAUCUACUUUUUGGAGAUCUCAAUAAAUAUUGAGAAUGUUCUUAGCUGCGGUAUUUUGUUACAAUAUUUUCUAAUAUUUUGUUGAUUCAUGAGAAGGUGUUGUUAUAACAAUAUUCAUAUUUAUUCAAACAUCAUGGUCGAUUAGUUGGAUAAUGGAAAUUGAGUCAAGGAUUGGAAAUUAUCACUUGGUCACUUAGAUAUGUGACACGAUGUGUUUUUUUACUCCAGAGGCUGAAUUAACAAAUGUGCUUUCUUAUUGUACUGAUGCCAUGACAAUCGUUUUUAAAUUUGUUGAAGGCAAGUGUUCCUGAUGGGGAGAUUUCAAGAAACUUUUCUUGCAUAAAGAUCGGCGGACUCUUUCUGAGGGACACAUUUUCUCCGCCACCAUGCACAUUGACACAGCCCUCUAUGCAAUCUGUUCCACAAGAACCUCCACCUGUGUCUGACUUUGGUCAAAAUUUUUGUCCUCAAAUCUAUCCAUUUGAGAAUCAACUAUUGAGAUUCACGUCAGGAACUCCUUUUAUGUUCCCUCUAUUGUCUUCAGCUCACUCCUUCCCCAUUACCUCCAAAGUUUGCUUGAAAAACUAUCAUCAUAUGUGAACCUCGUAUGGUGUGUCUCCUUAACACUAAUAGCAAAGUAAUACUCACGACAUCUAUAUGCCAUGGGAGAGCAACACGACCUAUGUGUUCCUAAAAACUCAGCUGAAGGCAUUUUUCAUUGGAUAUUGUCUGGUAAGGAUGAAGCUAAUCAGCAAAUAUAAUUGAUUAGCAGAGUAUCUGCAAAAUUAUCUUGAGCUUUUUUUGUGCUGAAUGCAGCUGUGUGCAUGAAGCUUAUUUGCAUUUGUGUGUUUUCCCUCUUUAGUUUUGACCAUCUCCUGAAAAAUAUUUCUUCGCAUAUUGGGUUACGAACCAAGGUUGUUGCUACUAGGUGCUGAUAUUUUCAUCCAGGUUGCUUACCCAAGAAUAACAAAGCAAAUGUGAUGAGUUCUACUGCGAGAUCUAAAACUGUUGUUUCUGAAAAGAAACCCCUCAUCAAAUUCGCUCUGAAUGUUCCAAGGGUUGCACAAACAGAAGCCCUUCCUGGAUUUACUAAACUGCUUGCAGCGAAACAAGACAAAUGGAUUUUACUAAACUGCUUGUCGUCCAUGGGUUGCACAAACAGAAGCUUUUACUGAACUGCUUGCAGCGAAACAAGACAAAUGGAUUUUACUAAACUGCUUGUCGUCCAUGCUGCGUUUGUUUGUACAUAUGAGACAACAUCUAUAUAUCUGCUCCUUUACAGACUGCUGCCUGUAAAUUUAUCUAUAUGUAAUGAACCUAUCUAUCACUAUCCGCCUUGUUAGUUCUCUCUUGUGUGCUUGAUAUUUGGUUUUCUAUUC